GUAUAUAUUUUUUUCGAAACUUCCUCACGUGACAUCAGUCCAAGUGAAGAUGUCAACAUCGACAACCGAGUACACUUGAAGUUAUUUGACUGAUGUUUUUGUCGUAUUGCUGGCAAUCGGAAGGGAAUGUCGAUGUUGACCACUGCUUGACUGUCACAUAAGAUAGGUAAGGUAUGUUGGUGUCUCAAGAAAUAGUCUGUGGAAUGCUAUCCAAGACAAGCUACAACAGCUAGCUAGAGAUAGAUUCGUGUUGGCUUUGUGAGUAGACCAGUUUAACGUUCACAAACAACUGCAGGUCCUGCAUUGCAAUGUACUCUACAUAGCUAGCUAACAAGCUAGCUGGUAUUUAACCAGUAUCCUACAAGUUCGCUUCCAUCAUCUCUAUACUGAUGGCUGGAUGUCACAGUGGCCAAUCCACCCUUGUCAACAGCUUAGCCACUCUGCUUCGGAAUCAUGGUACAUCUGUACUGGACGGCAGCAGUACCCUGACUCUACAGGCAGACUCUCUGCAGCACCUAGGUCGUCUGUUUGAGCAGUACCUCCUCUCCAGGACUCACCAACAUGGCUUCCUGGCUCUGCCCUCACACCCUGCUGACACCACCUCCCUACUGCAGCUCCAGUUCCUGUUCGACGUGCUGCAGAAGACUGUCUCCCUCAAGCUCAUCAAUCCACCUGGGUCGAGGCUUCAGUCAGUGGUCAAGAUCUUUCCUUUCAAGUCUCUCAAGUCCUUAGAGUUGAAGCGUAUCCCCCCUCACUGUCUGGAGGACCUGAGGGGAGUCUACUCUCAGUUAGAGGUCUUCACCUGCUCUAAGAGCCUCAGUUCCCUGGAGGAGCUAUUGUCUCUGUGUGGAGGAGACCUCAGCUCUGCACUGCCCUGGCUGGAGCUGCACACCCUCAACUUCAGCUACAACGCUAUAGUCUGCCUGGAUGAGUCACUGAGUUUACUGAAUGUUCUGAAGUCUCUGGAUCUUAGUCACAAUAAAAUCCAGGAGUGUGCUGACUUUCUCAAGCCUUUGAGUGAGCUAGAGCACCUCAACCUGGGCUAUAACAAUCUCCAGAGAGCACCAACGCUGGGCUUGAGCUCCAGAGCCAAACUCCUCACUCUCAUCCUCAGAAACAACGAGCUGGAGACCAUCAACGGAGUGGAGCAGUUGUCGUCCCUACAGCACCUGGACUUGGCCUACAACCUGCUACUGGAUCACUCCCAGCUGGCUCCUCUGUCUGUGCUGCACAGUCUCAACAUGUUGAAUCUGAAGGGCAACCCACUGUUCUUCCAGAAGACCCACAGAACCCGCACUGUCCGCCACCUCUCCCCCAAGGCUGCCUACCUCAGACUCAGACUGGACAGCAGCCCUCUCUCCUCCUCAGAGUUGUCAGUGCUACCCAAACCGGGACAGCUGAUUGGGCAGCUCCAGUCCCAGGCCUCACCCUUGAUCACCAGGGCUCCAGAGUGGGGUAACCAGGAAGUAGUGUCCAGCGGGGGCGGGGAGUUGAGUGACAGCCUGUCGGUCAGCGAGGUGGGAGUGACACGACAAUGCAAGAAGAAAGCCAAAAGUAAGGUGAGGGUGAGACGGGCUAGCAUCUCAGAGCCCAGUGACUAUGACUAUGAAUCCAGACCACAGUCCUCUAUACAAGACAUCGUUCUCCCUCACCAGAAGGAGAUUGAACGCAUGGACAGUUUCAGGGACCAACUGGGUGAGGAUUGGCUGCGCUACCAGCAUCACCUAGAGGGGGCGCCAAUCGCCACCCUAGACAAGGCGUACAGGCCAGCUCCUCCACACCUCAACAACAGUCUCUGUGACACCCCCUCCCCAACCAACAACAGCCCCAUCCAGGCGAGCCCCACCACCUUUAAGCCCCCUUCUCCAGAGCUGGAAGUCCCGGAGGUUCUACCCCCACCGCUGCUCUCGUCUGAGCCCAAGGAGGAGGCCUCAGACUGGGAUGCAGAUCUGGAGACAGAGUCCACCCUCCAGUGGCCUGACCACAGCCUCGGGCACACAGAGUCCACCCUGGAGACUACUAUGGCAGAGGGACUGGGUCAGGGGUUAGAGGGUAUACCGGCGACACCCACAGACACCAGAGAAGAAGAGGAGGAGGACUUGGGAGUUGACCUGUGUCACCCCCUGCUUGUGGGAGUACUAUCAUCAUCAGAAGAGGAGGAGGAGGGACUGAGGACGAAGAACAGGGCCCAGUGUCCUGUGUUCCUCAGGGUCAAGCCAAGACACGUCCUGGAGGUGGACAUGAGCAGGGGUCAGUUGCAGGCCCGGCUAGAGUUGGACAGUCUGGGGAGGUUCACCAUGUCCCAGGUCACCUGGACUGAGAGGGAGGUGGAGCGAACUCUUCCUGCGGUAGAGCUUCACUUCCGUUACAUCAGCAGAGAGAGGAGGAGGAGACGCUAUGUUAUGCUGGAUGAUGACCCCCAGGAGGCACUGCAGGCACUGACAGAGGUCCUGUCGCGGGUGGUGGAGGAGAAUGAGCGGCGGGUCAUGGAGGGUCGUCCCAGCUGUGUCUGCCUGCAGUGUCUCCGCUGUGGGUCAGAGUUCACACAGCGGGGAGGGAAGGAGCAGGAGGACGGAGGGAGAUUGAGAGGAUGGGCAGGACUGGAAGAGCAGGAGGAGGAGAGGAAGAACAAGUGCAGAGAAGAUGGAUUGGGAAGUACCGUCAUCUGUCCUGAGUGUGGUAGUGAUCAUGUGGUCCAGCUGGCUGGCCAAUCAGCUCCCUCCACCAGUACGCCCGUCCAUGGUUCCCCAUGCCAAGACGGGACUGACCGACACUUUACCUUCAACCACAGAGAUACACCUCUACCCAGUCACCCUGGCAACAAGGACCCCACCAUGGAAGGUCCUUCCUCUGCCAGGGCCAGCCACUUCGGCAGCCCUGCCAUGAAGGCCUCAACCCAGGACACUAUCCAGACUAGCAUCUCCAUGGAGGACCCCACCUCCUUCUUCUCAGCCAAGGGAAGCUCCUUCUCCUUGGGGGAGACCUGGGAGGACCAGAGCCGUGACCGGAGCCUGUCCCAACCUGCCAGCUUCUACAGUACAGAGGGCCAGAGUAAAGGAAGUAUAGCAGGGAGCUACAGCUAUACUGUUAGUGCUACCUCACCUGGACCCCAGGAUCAGCAUGCAGAACAAGCCAGUCCAGGCCAGUUGGACCUUCUCUCAGAGGACUAUGAGGCGGUAGACCAUCGGCUGAAGCUCUUCCUAGAUGUGGAGGUGUUUGAAGAGGAAGAGGAGCUCCACUCCUUUCUCAAGGUGUCGACCGUGAAGUUUGGUGAUCCGGUGGAGUUCCCCUCGUUCCUGGUGGUGUCUGACCAACGCAUCUACUUCCUGGAAGUGACAUCCGACAUGGAAGGGCAGCCUUGUGAUUGGCUGCAGAAGAGGGACAGCCGUGGAAUCACAGAACUGAGUUACCUGGAGGUGGGACUGGGCUCCCAGAGUAUCCACAUGGAGUUUGAGGACGGGCCUGUGGCCUACACCCUGCUAGUACGGGACAGCGUGCGUUGCAAACGCUUCUUCAGCCUUUUCACAGGAGUGGUGCGUGAGUUGGCUACCAAGUCGGACAGCAAGCUUAAGUCUAUCUCCACCACCAGGCUCAACCCACAGCAUCAUCUCUGGCCCCUAGUGUGUGAAGACAUGCAGACUGAUGUGGAGGAUGGCCAGCUACAGUUCUUCUACCUCCUGUCCUUUCUACAUCAAGGUACAUUAGAAGUGUGUGUGUACUGAACAAAAAUAUAAACACAACAUGUAAAAUGUUGGUCCCGUGUUUCAUGAGAUGAAAAAAAAGAACCUAGACAUUUUCCAUAUGCACAAAAAGCUUAUUUCUCUCAUUUUGUGCACAAAUGUGUUUGCAUCCCUGUUAGUGAGCAUUUAUCAUUUGCUAAGAUAAUCCAUCUACCUGAUAGGUGUAGCCUAUCAAGAAGCUGAUUAAUUAAAACUUCUUAGGAAUAGGCCCCUUUUUCUCCACUUCCUGUCUGAAUGACGUGCCCAAAGUAAACUGCCUGUUGCUCAGGCCCUGAAGCCAGGAUAUGCAUAUAAUUGGAAAGAAACUUUGAAGUUUGUAGAAAUGUUAAAAUAAUGUAGGAGAAUAUAACACAAUAGAUAUGGUAGGAGAAAAUACCAAGAAAAACCAACCAGAAUUGUUUUAUUUUAUAGACUGUGCUCUUACAAUGGCAAGUAUAAGGGCAUACUCAAUUCUAGCUCCCAGGAUGCAAUUCCUAUGGCUUCCACAUGGUGUCAGCAGUCUGUUCAAGGUUUCAGGCUUGUAACUUCCAAAACGAAUAAGAAAUAUUAGAUUUAGUAUAGGGACACAGUCUUGGAAAUUCGUGUUUGCGGGUGCCAUGAAGACGAGACGCACCUGCUAAAAUUGGUUUCCUAUUGAACAUACUUCUUUCCUUAAGACAUAUUAUAGUUUGAUUAUAUUUUAGGGUAUCUGAGGAGUAAAUAGAAACUCAUUUAGAGAUUUUCGGAUUCCUUUCUCUGCAUGUUGAACGAGUGGAUUACUCAAAUCGAUGGCGCCAACUAAACAGACCUUUUGGGAUAUAAAGAAGGAUUUUAUCUAACCAAACAUAGCUGGGGCCCUUUGGAUGACAAAUCAGAGGAACAUUUUCAAAAAAAGACUGUGUGACCCCUCUGACAGUGCUGGCCACCCGGGAAACCCUGUACCUGCUCAACGAAGACCACCAAUGGAGCAAGAGCUUGCCCCACCCAUCAGCCAAUGAGAACGGGGAGCCCUGCAGUGGGCGGGUCACUGUUCAGGAGACCCAGCCAAUCAGCUGUGUCAGCUCUGUCCAUCUAUGGUCGUCUGACCCGUGCAGAAUGGACAUCAAGCUUUACGAUGAGAUAGUGAAGGAGGAGAAGACGUGGUCGUUGCACUCUGACAGUGCAGAGCUGGUGCAGGGCCUGCUGGUCUGGGUCAGAACACAAUGGGAGAACAUGUUCGGAGUCAAACUCGCCAUCACCAACCUCACCCUACCAGCCUAAGGGAAAACACCCACCCUUCCAACUGUGUGCGCAUGCCUGAGUGUGGGUCUGUCUGUCUUCACUGUCAGACUUGACCCUCAAUAGGACAGUAUGUUUACCUGGUUUGUAGCCAACUAUGAUUUCCUCAUGUUUGUUCACUUUUACAAAAGCACUGAUCUGUUAACGCCUCAUGUAAAUCCCGUCCAUUUUCUAACCCUGCCAGUAUAGCCAGCCAGGGAGAGUGCCUUGUGGUGUUGCCAGUCCUGCUACAUUCUAAUGCACCUUGAAUAUGUGAAAGGGGUGAGGGGGAAUCAUGUGUUUCUUUCAGGGGGGUGAGGACAGGAUAAGGAGGGAGAAAGGGGUAAGCAAACAUGUGAGUUGGGGGGGUAAUUGUGUGUGUGUGUGUGUGUGUGUGUGUGUUAUCAAGGAGGUUAGUCCAUUCCUCUGAAGCUCAGUGGACUGUGACUUCAUCAGGAGUCCCGGGACUGGAACAGUGAGUUUUGACAUCACACGCUCGGCACAAGGCUCUCUAGCCGUCCCGUGAGGCUCCGCUCCGGACACCUCUGACGUGACACCUCUGAUGUGACACCUCUUAGUUCUUUUCAAUCAGGGACUUUUGAUGUCUCUAUGCACUGUGAUUAUGUAAAGGAAAAGAGCAACCCAAGUGAAGAGUUGCAGCCAAGGCAAUGAACCGGGACAGUAUCUGUAUUCAUGGGAAAAGUGCAGAAUACGCAUGAUAGGGAAUGUGAAAGGGAAGGGUUCUGACUGACCUGUUUUAAAGUGGGAGAUGUUAGUUGGUUUGUGGCUGUCUGUUAAAUGUAAAGUCUUACGCUAAUACCUCUCUAGUGCAGUUUAACUAUAUUGUGAAUGUCAAGUGAAUGCUAUUUUUGAUGUAGACAGAUGAAAAGAUGUGUAGAAGUGGACGACAAACAGAUGUGUGUAACUUAAUUUAUUUACCGUCAGCAAAUCAAUGAUUAAAAAACUAUAGCUUUUUGUACAUUAAAUAAAAAUGCAUAUCUGUGGUACAAUACAUCCUCUUAUGACACUGUA